AUGCUUGGUGUAUUCUUGUGUAGUUGUGUUUUCAUCGGAAAAACAAGGAUGUGGGUCAGACUCCAGUUCAUUGCGACUCCAUUAACGGAGUUUGACCACUCCGAAAAAGGUGAUGCUCUGUAUGCAAUGGAGUUUGGCUCUUGCUCUCGAAAAGAUGGUGAACAAGAAGCUGCCCAACCUGCACACUGUGGGUCUACAACUGCUAAUUUAAAGGGAUUCGAUUGUCCCUCGUCUGAGCAUAAGCAUGAUAAAGUGCAGCAACUGACUUGGCUUAUUGUUUUGGAAAUCGCAACCGGUGCUCUCCUGCUUGUUUUUGUGAUUACUGGUGUCGUUACUGCCUACAGAAGCUGCAAUCUAAAGCCUUCUAUACGAAUAUCAUCAUGGAGCAGAUCAAAAAGUUGGAGCGCCGAGAUAACAGUACUGAUUGGCCAAUAA
rnacentral:rRNA from 1 species